rnacentral:rRNA from 1 species
UACGGAGGGUGCGAGCGUUGUCCGGAAUCACUGGGCGUAAAGGGCGCGUAGGCGGCGCGGGAAGUCAUCGGUGAAAGUUCAGGGCUCAACUCUGAAUCGGCCGGUGAUACUCUCGUGCUUGAGCACUGUAGAGGCAGGUGGAAUUCCGGGUGUAGCGGUGGAAUGCGUAGAGAUCCGGAAGAACACCGGUGGCGAAGGCGGCCUGCUGGGCAGUAG